rnacentral:rRNA from 1 species
CCCAUACAAUCUUGCUAGCGCAUGCUAAAAAGAUAAAAGCUCCGGCGGUGUAAAAUGAGCGUGCGUCCUAUUAGCUAGUUGGAGAGGUAAUGGCUCACCAAGGCUACGAUGGGUAGGGGUUCUUAGUGGAAGGUCCCCCACACUGGCACUGAGAUACGGGCCAGACUCCUACGGGAGGCAGCAGUAGGGAAUAUUGGUCAAUGGGCGCAAGCCUGAACCAGCCAUGCCGAGUGCAGGAUGAAGGCUCUCUGAGUUGUAAACUGCUUUUGUACAGGAGCAAAAAAGCCCCUGCGGGGGCUCUUGAGAGUACUGUAAGAAUAAGCACCGGCUAAUUCCGUGCCAGCAGCCGCGGUAAUACGGAAGGUGCAAGCGUUAUCCGGUUUUAUUGGGUUUAAAGGGUGCGUAGGCGGCUUAUUAAGUCAGUUGUGAAAUCCUAGUGCUUAACGCUAGAACUGCGAUUGAUACUAUUAGGCUUGAGUUAAGAAGAGGUAGGCAGAAUUUAUGGUGUAGUAGUGAAAUGCUUAGAUAUCAUAAGGAAUACCAAUAGCGUAGGCAGCUUACUGGUCUUUAACUGACGCUGAGGCACGAAAGCGUGGGGAGCAAACAGGAUUAGAUACCCUGGUAGUCCACGCCGUAAACGAUGAUCACUCGAUAUACAUGAAACCUCGUGUGUGUCUAAGCGAAAGCGUUAAGUGAUCCACCUGGGGAGUAUACUCGCAAGGGUGAAACUCAAAGGAAUUGACGGGGGUCCGCACAAGCGGUGGAGUAUGUGGUUUAAUUCGAUAAUACGCGAGAAACCUUACCUGGGCUAGAAUGUAAAGGACACCUUGAG